rnacentral:rRNA from 1 species
GGGUUGUGAGGUUAAGCGACUAAGCGUACACGGUGGAUGCCCUGGCAGUCAGAGGCGAUGAAGGACGUGCUAAUCUGCGAUAAGCGUCGGUAAGGUGAUAUGAACCGUUAUAACCGGCGAUUUCCGAAUGGGGAAACCCAGUGUGUUUCGACACACUAUCAUUAACUGAAUCCAUAGGUUAAUGAGGCGAACCGGGGGAACUGAAACAUCUAAGUACCCCGAGGAAAAGAAAUCAACCGAGAUUCCCCCAGUAGCGGCGAGCGAACGGGGAGGAGCCCAGAGCCUGAAUCAGUGUGUGUGUUAGUGGAAGCGUCUGGAAAGGCGCGCGAUACAGGGUGACAGCCCCGUACACAAAAAUGCACAUGCUGUGAGCUCGAUGAGUAGGGCGGGACACGUGGUAUCCUGUCUGAAUAUGGGGGGACCAUCCUCCAAGGCUAAAUACUCCUGACUGACCGAUAGUGAACCAGUACCGUGAGGGAAAGGCGAAAAGAACCCCGGUGAGGGGAGUGAAAAAGAACCUGAAACCGUGUACGUACAAGCAGUGGGAGCACGCUUAGGCGUGUGACUGCGUACCUUUUGUAUAAUGGGUCAGCGACUUAUAUUCUGUAGCAAGGUUAACCGAAUAGGGGAGCCGAAGGGAAACCGAGUCUUAACUGGGCGUUAAGUUGCAGGGUAUAGACCCGAAACCCGGUGAUCUAGCCAUGGGCAGGUUGAAGGUUGGGUAACACUAACUGGAGGACCGAACCGACUAAUGUUGAAAAAUUAGCGGAUGACUUGUGGCUGGGGGUGAAAGGCCAAUCAAACCGGGAGAUAGCUGGUUCUCCCCGAAAGCUAUUUAGGUAGCGCCUCGUGAAUUCAUCUCCGGGGGUAGAGCACUGUUUCGGCAAGGGGGUCAUCCCGACUUACCAACCCGAUGCAAACUGCGAAUACCGGAGAAUGUUAUCACGGGAGACACACGGCGGGUGCUAACGUCCGUCGUGAAGAGGGAAACAACCCAGACCGCCAGCUAAGGUCCCAAAGUCAUGGUUAAGUGGGAAACGAUGUGGGAAGGCCCAGACAGCCAGGAUGUUGGCUUAGAAGCAGCCAUCAUUUAAAGAAAGCGUAAUAGCUCACUGGUCGAGUCGGCCUGCGCGGAAGAUGUAACGGGGCUAAACCAUGCACCGAAGCUGCGGCAGCGACGCUGAUGCGUUGUUGGGUAGGGGAGCGUUCUGUAAGCCUGUGAAGGUGUGCUGUGAGGCAUGCUGGAGGUAUCAGAAGUGCGAAUGCUGACAUAAGUAACGAUAAAGCGGGUGAAAAGCCCGCUCGCCGGAAGACCAAGGGUUCCUGUCCAACGUUAAUCGGGGCAGGGUGAGUCGACCCCUAAGGCGAGGCCGAAAGGCGUAGUCGAUGGGAAACAGGUUAAUAUUCCUGUACUUGGUGUUACUGCGAAGGGGGGACGGAGAAGGCUAUGUUGGCCGGGCGACGGUUGUCCCGGUUUAAGCGUGUAGGCUGGUUUUCCAGGCAAAUCCGGAAAAUCAAGGCUGAGGCGUGAUGACGAGGCACUACGGUGCUGAAGCAACAAAUGCCCUGCUUCCAGGAAAAGCCUCUAAGCAUCAGGUAACAUCAAAUCGUACCCCAAACCGACACAGGUGGUCAGGUAGAGAAUACCAAGGCGCUUGAGAGAACUCGGGUGAAGGAACUAGGCAAAAUGGUGCCGUAACUUCGGGAGAAGGCACGCUGAUAUGUAGGUGAAGCGACUUGCUCGUGGAGCUGAAAUCAGUCGAAGAUACCAGCUGGCUGCAACUGUUUAUUAAAAACACAGCACUGUGCAAACACGAAAGUGGACGUAUACGGUGUGACGCCUGCCCGGUGCCGGAAGGUUAAUUGAUGGGGUUAGCGCAAGCGAAGCUCUUGAUCGAAGCCCCGGUAAACGGCGGCCGUAACUAUAACGGUCCUAAGGUAGCGAAAUUCCUUGUCGGGUAAGUUCCGACCUGCACGAAUGGCGUAAUGAUGGCCAGGCUGUCUCCACCCGAGACUCAGUGAAAUUGAACUCGCUGUGAAGAUGCAGUGUACCCGCGGCAAGACGGAAAGACCCCGUGAACCUUUACUAUAGCUUGACACUGAACAUUGAGCCUUGAUGUGUAGGAUAGGUGGGAGGCUUAGAAGUGUGGACGCCAGUCUGCAUGGAGCCGACCUUGAAAUACCACCCUUUAAUGUUUGAUGUUCUAACGUUGACCCGUAAUCCGGGUUGCGGACAGUGUCUGGUGGGUAGUUUGACUGGGGCGGUCUCCUCCUAAAGAGUAACGGAGGAGCACGAAGGUUGGCUAAUCCUGGUCGGACAUCAGGAGGUUAGUGCAAUGGCAUAAGCCAGCUUGACUGCGAGCGUGACGGCGCGAGCAGGUGCGAAAGCAGGUCAUAGUGAUCCGGUGGUUCUGAAUGGAAGGGCCAUCGCUCAACGGAUAAAAGGUACUCCGGGGAUAACAGGCUGAUACCGCCCAAGAGUUCAUAUCGACGGCGGUGUUUGGCACCUCGAUGUCGGCUCAUCACAUCCUGGGGCUGAAGUAGGUCCCAAGGGUAUGGCUGUUCGCCAUUUAAAGUGGUACGCGAGCUGGGUUUAGAACGUCGUGAGACAGUUCGGUCCCUAUCUGCCGUGGGCGCUGGAGAACUGAGGGGGGCUGCUCCUAGUACGAGAGGACCGGAGUGGACGCAUCACUGGUGUUCGGGUUGUCAUGCCAAUGGCACUGCCCGGUAGCUAAAUGCGGAAGAGAUAAGUGCUGAAAGCAUCUAAGCACGAAACUUGCCCCGAGAUGAGUUCUCCCUGACCCUUUAAGGGUCCUGAAGGAACGUUGAAGACGACGACGUUGAUAGGCCGGGUGUGUAAGCGCAGCGAUGCGUUGAGCUAACCGGUACUAAUGAACCGUGAGGCUUAACCUUACAACGCCGAAG